UCAGGAUGAACGCUGGCGGCGUGCCUAACACAUGCAAGUCGAACGAAGCACAUACGACAGAACUCUUCGGAGGGAAGAUGUAUGUGACUGAGUGGCGGACGGGUGAGUAACGCGUGGGUAACCUGCCCUAUACAGGGGGACAACAGUUGGAAACGACUGCUAAUACCGCAUAAGCGCACAGUACCGCAUGGUACAGAGCGAAAAAACUCCGGUGGUAUAGGAUGGGCCCGCGUCUGAUUAGUUAGUUGGCGGUGUAACGGACCACCAAGACGACGAUCAGUAGCCGGCUUGAGAGAGUGAACGGCCACAUUGGGACUGAGACACGGCCCAAACUCCUACGGGAGGCAGCAGUGGGGAAUAUUGCACAAUGGGGGAAACCCUGAUGCAGCAACGCCGCGUGAGUGAAGAAGUAUUUCGGUAUGUAAAGCUCUAUCAGCAGGGAAGAAAAUGACGGUACCUGACUAAGAAGCCCCGGCUAACUACGUG
rnacentral:rRNA from 1 species